rnacentral:rRNA from 1 species
GAGUACUGCCUGCCCAGUGAAUUUAAAAAUUUUAACGGCCGCGGUAUCUUGACCGUGCAAAGGUAGCAUAAUAAUUUGCUCUUUAAUUAAGGGCUAGUAUGAAAGGCAAGACGAGGGUUUAACUGUCUCCCUUUUAAAAAAAGAAAUUAAUAUUUUAGUGAAGAAACUAAAAUAUAAACGCUAGACGAGAAGACCCUGUCGAGCUUAAAAAAAUUUUUAUACAAAAAAUAAAAAGCUAAUUAAAAAAUUUUUAAUUUUACUAAAAAUUUUUGUUAUUAAAAUAUUUUUAGUUGGGGCAACUACGAAGAAAAAAAAACCUUCGAUAAAAAAAAAAAAUAAACAAAUUUUAAAGUUAAUAAAAAACUAAAAAGAUCCGGAAAUUCCGAACAAAGAAAAAAGUUACCGCAGGGAUAACAGCGUAAUUCUCUUUGAGAGCUCUUAUUGACAAGAGAGUUUGCGACCUCGAUGUUGGACCAAGGCACCCAGAAGAUGCAGAAGUCUCCAAAGG